AUUGAACGCUGGCGGCAGGCCUAGCACAUGCAAGUCGAGCGGAUGAAGGGGGCUUGCUCCUGUCUUCAGCGGCGGACGGGCGGGUAAUGCAUAGGAAUCUGACUGGUCGUGGGGGCUAACGUCAGGAAACGGGCGCUAAUACCGCAUCCGUCAUGAGGGAGAAAGUGGGGGAUCUUCGGUCCUCACGCUAUUAGAUGAGCCUAGGUCGGAUUAGCUAGGUGGUGGGGUAAAGGCCUACCAAGGCGACGAUCCGUAACUGGUCUGAGAGGAUGAACAGUCACAAUGGAAGAGAGGAACGGUCCCGACCCCUAAGGGGAGGAGCAGUGGGGAAUAUUGGAGAAUGGGGGAAAGCCUUAUCCAGGCAAGGCGGGGGGGGUAAGAAGGUGUUCGGAUUGGAAAGCACUUGAAGUUGGGGGGAAGGACAGUAAGUUAAUACCGUGCUGUUUUGACGGUACCAACAGAAGAAGCACCGGCUAACUUCGUG
rnacentral:rRNA from 1 species